UUAAACACUUUUCCUUUGACAUGAUUGUUUAACAGUCAAGUUUAAUUUUAAUUAGUCAAUAUAACCUUGUCUUUGAGUGAUAAUUUAGUGCUGUUAAUGUUGUCGAGUGGAUUUCUCAUACAUUUAUGGUUUUCCCGAGUCAAGAGUUACUGGCUAUUUUGUGUUUAAUGUUGACACUUGUCUGCUGCAUAAAUGUGCUUCAAUAAUUGAUUCAAAAUGUUUCUACUUCAUUUUUCUUCAAGUGAUUUAUCAUUAAUGCAUUUGAUCAAGUAUAUUAAUGGUCGCUCAAAAUUAUCAGCUAUUUGUGUGUUACACCUUGAAUUGGUUGAACACUUAACUUACCAGUGAAAAACGUUUUACAAACGCUAUUCAAGUUUGAAUGAACCUUAAUGAAAGAGUCAUAAUCAAUCAUAAACCAAAUAUACAAACAAACAAAAAAUCAAUCAAUGUUAAUGGCUGUUAUUAACUCUUACCUGGCAAUGAUUAGAUUAUUUUGCAUUGACCAGAACAAUUACCUCAAACAAGUCAAAUUAUGUUGGAAAAAAACAAAGGACAAAAAAGUGAAUUGACCAUUGCUCUUUAUUAAACGUAUUACUAUUAAUGGAUUGUAUUGUUAAUAAUGCAUGUAAAUUGUUGAAAGGGUAAACCCUUUUUAACUAAUUUGUUGUACCUUUGUUGUACUAACUGUUUACUAAUUAACCGCACAAGUUAAGGUCAGUUGGUGAUGUUAAUGAAAGGUUUUAACUGACCAUCAACUCAAGCUUAAUUAGUUGGAAAACAAUUGAGGAUUCUUACACGUUCAACAAUUUAAUGGCAUAACACAAAUGCCAUGACAGUAACAAGAUCAAAGCCAAGAAGUGUCAAACUCUGGUCAGUAAAAAUUUAGAAGGAAAUCGGAGGAAGUAUCAUUUUUGGCGAUUUAUCUUAAAAUGGCCAUGGAUUUCUCAUCUUGGAAGGAACAGCAAACAAUCGGAAAUUUUCUUGACCAAAUACCGUGAAUUUGAUUGCUUUAUCAUAUUUGGCUGACGAAAUACAAGACUCUAAGUGAUUGGCCGAGACUUGAACAGCCAGUAUAAACAGCUUGCUAUUAAACAGUCAACGAUGAUACAAAUUGACUGGUAUCAAUGAUAUCUUUAAAAUAUUAUAUUUCAUGUUAUUACAUGUUACACGAUUAUUAACCUCAAUAUCAUUGAUUGUAAACCUUCAAUGUUUAACAAUCUCAGGGUUUUACAUGAUUGAAAGUGAAGCCUAAAGUGGUUCAACAUUUUAAGGUGAAAGUUGAAUAGAUAAAGAUACAAAAAGAUAUUACAUAAAAAAACAAUGAAAUAUUAAUAAUAAUGGUAAUAAAGUAACUCCAAUUAUCUAAUUAACUUUAUAAGUCGUUAAUCUUGUUUCAAGCUUUCCUGGUUUUAACUGUUAAUCAGAAACAAAAAUCAGGGUUUGUCAAAUCACGUUUACCUUUGACCGGAAUAUGAGCAAAAAUUAAUAAAUUGACUUUCAAUUUUUAA